GGCCAGCUAGAUCAAUGGUAGAUCGCCACUUUCCGGUAGAGUUUGGUGGAGGUUUUGGGUUCGAGUCCCAAGUUGGUCG